AAUGCUAGCAGUAGUGAGAAAAUGGUGAUUAAAAAAACACCAAACAAUAUGACUUAAAGAUAAUAUAAUUUCAUUGUUGGAAAGGCUGCCUCUGAAACGGGAUGCUGACGCGCAUGCGUCUGGAACAGCGUCAGGAGCGUCUUUGGAUUUUCAGCGUGCGUUGUCCCUUUGUGCCGCACCAGACCAUCUUAUCCAGAGCCGAGGGAUCCUGGCCAGUCAGUUAUUAUGUUCAGGGGUGCAGUAUUGUGCGUCACUGACGAACCCUCACCCGUCUGGAGUGCCUGCAUCUCCUCCAGGGAGUUCACCUCCUGCCACAACUUGCUGAUUUGAGACUUAAUUGACAUCAUCUUCAUCCGCUGCUGCAUCUCAAUUGGAAAUUCGACCGGACAAAGCAGCAAAUUAGCAUGGGGGAAACCAGCAACUAGGCAAGACUGUGCUUCAUUAAUUCUGGCAGCACUGAAAUCCCGAGCUGCCAGUGGGAGCCGUUUACCUCUCUGUCCGGCCGGAGCUGCCCUUCUGGUCCGAGACGGCAGCCCACCUCCAGGCUGGAGCAAGGCGCCACUGAUGACCAGGACGACUGCAAGAGCAGAACCCACCAUUUUUCAGUCACUGCUCUCUGCAGAUACUGCUGGAAUACCAGCCAGUGCUUCAUGUUGAUCAAAAAUGGCCCAGACAGCUGGCUAAAUAUGGGAUGGAUGUUUGCAUUGGCAGAAACUCAUUGGUCUGUACUGUGUGUGUCAAAUACACAGGGUGGAUAGGUAACAGACAGCGCUCUGUUUUGGUCCAUUCAUAAAUAUUUA